GGAUGGGUGGCCGAGUGGUUGAAGGCACUGGUCUUGAAAACCAGCAGGCGCGCAAGCGUCUCGGGGGUUCGAAUCCCUCCCCAUCCGCCA
rnacentral:tRNA from 2 species